AGAAGAGAUAUUUGUCUUUAAAUGUCUUUAUUUCUCAGAGCUUCCUGAUCUUGGCAGGAUGAGCAAGACAGAGGAUUGCAGUAACUAUUCUUAUCACACAUGUGGGAGUUCUCCCUGUGCACUUCCUCUACCAGUAGCUCCAACCACAUCUUGAGAAAUUUUUUACAAAAUGUGUUCGAUCUGACACAUUGCCUGGCAAAUGCACAGGAGAAUCUGGGGUUGAGCUCAGAAACACCAUCACCCUUUUCCUUCACCUCAGAACACUUCUUUGAAGACACUGAAGUCUCUGAAAAGAGGAGCUCCUGCCCCACCGAAGCCCAGAGAGGUCUGCUCUGCAGAUGCUCAAGGAAAGGUUCUUCCUGGAUCAGCAAAGCUUGAGAAAAACCACACACUGUGUCUGAUACUGCGAGAAUCCCCAUGUAUGUUAGCAGAUUAAAGAAUCUUAAACAUUUAUAAAGCCGCACUGGGUCCAAGGAGCCUUUCCCGGCCAGCCUGCAGGAGUGGAAGGAUCUCUGCGGGCAGCUGCUUUGAAAGUUACUUCUUUAAGGACAAGAACAAGAUGUUGCUUUUCAUUUCUUUUAAAACGCUUGUUCGUACCUGGCUCAGUGGCUGAGCAUUAAGCACAUGCCUGGGU